rnacentral:lncRNA from 1 species
GAUUCAAUUAGCCCUAGAAAAUAAUUUUGGCUUUAUUGUUUUUAACUCUAUUAUCUUUUAACGUUUGUAUUAAUCAAAAUUUACAUUUUUCCGUUAGCGUAACGUUAAUACACAAUAGUUCCUUAUAGUACCUUCUUUUAAUAUAUAGAAAUCUGUAUCGUCCUAAAGCCGAAUUUACACGUGUCAAGUAGCUAAAGCAAGUUACUAAAUUUAGUUACUUGUAUGGUGUAAACAACUUGAUUUAGUACUUGCGCAAAUACCUAAUUUAGUAAGAUUUUUAGUCAAGUAAAUAGAAACAAUUUCUAUUUACUUGAGCAAGUUGUCUCCUCCACCUUUGCUUUCUAGAAACUAAACCGCCGACUAAACAAGUGUAGACAGGUUUUUUAGUCGAGUUCAUAAGUACAGACUGCGACGUUGAUUUUUCAUUUAUUUAUGGCGUGUUUUAAAAAUAUCUCGUUGGAGUGAAGAAACAACAAUAAAAUUUGUAGAAGAGUAUCGAGAAAGGCGAUGCUUAUGGUAUACAAGGGCUACCAUUUACAAAAAUAAACAGGCUCGGGACUCGGCGUUUAAGGAAAUUGAGGAGAUCAUGGGGAUAGAAGGAUUCGGAGUGCCUGAAAUCAAGAACAAAAUACGGGCGUUGAGGUCAACUUAUUCUCAAGAAAAAAAGAAAAUAAGGGACUCUAUGAAGUCAGGAGCAGGAUCGGAGGAUAUUUAUGUCCCCAGUGUAAAAUAGUUUAAGGAAAUGGACACAUUUUUACGUAACGUAGAGGAUAAUAAGAGGCCUACGCAGGAUAAUUUCAAUAUACAAUGCGAAGAAGAAGUUAACUAACAAAAACGAGAAAAUGAAGAAGAAAUAAUGGCUGCAAGAAACGAAACGUCUCAGGAAGUACCGCAGAAAAAAAGUAGAACUACGUCAAAAUUGAGGCAAGUUACUGCAGUAGUUAACGACCUAAAAAAAAUAAGCGAAACUAUGACACAUGAAUCUGCCAAUGAGCAUGAAUACAUAGCUUUUGGUCGCAGUGUUGCUGCACAAUUAAUGACGUUAACUCCUCUUUCCGCCAUACAAGCACAGGAACGCAUUCAGUCUGUUCUGACAAGUUUUAAACUACAAGACCUCCAGGCCCAGAGUAACCAGUACGACACAUAUGCAGAUACCAGUAGUGCUCACGCCUCAUCUUCCAUCUAUACACCACUGCAGUCCCCUACAUAUUCCGACAUGCAUUCUUCGCAUAGCAAUGGAUCCACAAAUAUAACUCGUGCAGAAUCAGUUGCCGAUGUCGUACGAUCACAGAUAAUAGCAAAAGCUUUUUCCAACAUUUAACAUGUUUUGUUCAUCAACAACUUUUUCGUAAUAAAAAUAUUUAAAAAUAA